rnacentral:rRNA from 1 species
UACGUAGGGUGCGAGCGUUAAUCGGAAUUACUGGGCGUAAAGCGUGCGCAGGCGGUUCGUUAUGUCCGAUGUGAAAGCCCCCGAGCUCAACUUGGGAAUGGCAUUGGAAACUGGCGGGCUGGAGUGUGGCAGAGGGGGGUGGAAUUCCGCGUGUAGCAGUGAAAUGCGUAGAUAUCUGGAGGAAUACCGGUGGGCGAAAGGCGGCAUC